UACGGGGGGGGCAAGCGUUGUUCGGAAUUACUGGGCGUAAAGGGCUCGUAGGCGGCCAACUAAGUCAGACGUGAAAUCCCUCGGCUUAACCGGGGAACUGCGUCUGAUACUGGAUGGCUUGAGUCCGGAAGAGGUGAGUGGAACUCCGAGUGUAGAGGUGAAAUUCGUAGAUAUUCGGAAGAACACCAGUGGCGAAGGCGGCUCACUGGCCCGGUACUGACGCCUGAGGUGCGAAAGCGUGGGGAGCAAACAGG
rnacentral:rRNA from 1 species